rnacentral:rRNA from 1 species
GGGACGGCUACGCGGGAACUGGGGAUAAUUCCGGAUAACGCAUAUUUGCUGGAAUGCUUUAUGCGUCAAAAGGAUUCGUCUGCCCAAGGAUGGGUCUGCGGCCUAUCAGGUAGUAGUGGGUGUAAUGUACCUACUAGCCAGCGACGGGUACGGGUUGUGAGAGCAAGAGCCCGGAGAUGGAUUCUGAGACAUGAAUCCAGGCCCUACGGGGCGCAGCAGGCGCGAAAACUUUACAAUGCGGGAAACCGUGAUAAGGGGACACCGAGUGCCAGCAUCAUAUGCUGGCUGUCCGGAUGUGUAAAAUACAUCCGUUAGCAAGGGCCGGGCAAGACCGGUGCCAGCCGCCGCGGUAACACCGGCGGCCCGAGUGGUGAUCGUGAUUAUUGGGUCUAAAGGGUCCGUAGCCGGUUUGGUCAGUCCUCCGGGAAAUCUGAUAGCUCAACUAUUAGGCUUUCGGGGGAUACUGCCAGACUUGGAACCGGGAGAGGUAAGAGGUACUACAGGGGUAGGAGUGAAAUCUUGUAAUCCCUGUGGGACCACCUGUGGCGAAGGCGUCUUACCAGAACGGGUUCGACGGUGAGGACGAAAGCUGGGGGCACGAACCGGAUUAGAUACCCGGGUAGUCCCAGCCGUAAACGAUGCUCGCUAGGUGUCAGGCAUGGCGCGACCGUGUCUGGUGCCGCAGGGAAGCCGUGAAGCGAGCCACCUGGGAAGUACGGCCGCAAGGCUGAAACUUAAAGGAGAUUGGCGGGGGAGCACAACAACGGGUGGAGCCUGCGGUUUAAUUGGACUCAACGCCGGACAACUCACCGGGGGCGACAGCAAUAUGUAGGCCAAGCUGAAGACUUUGCCUGAAUCGCUGAGAGGAGGUGCAUGGCCGUCGCCAGUUCGUACUGUGAGCAUCCUGUUAAGUCAGGCAACGAGCCAGACCCGUGCCCACUGUUACCAUGCAUGUCCUCCGGGACGAUGGGUACUCUGUGGAGGACCGCCGAUGUUAAAUCGGAGGAAGGUGCGGGCCACGGUAGGUCAGUAUGCCCCGAAUCUCCCGGGCUACACGCGGGCUACAAUGGAUGGGACAAUGGGUCCCUCCCCUGAAAAGGGCUGGUAAUCUCACAAACCCAUUCGUAGUUCGGAUCGAGGGCUGUAACUCGCCCUCGUGAAGCUGGAAUCCGUAGUAAUCGCGUUC